CCUACGGGAGGCAGCAGUGGGGAAUCUUGCGCAAUGGGCGGAAGCCUGACGCAGCCAUGCCGCGUGAAUGAUGAAGGUCUUAGGAUUGUAAAAUUCUUUCACCGGGGACGAUAAUGACGGUACCCCGGAGAAGAAGCCCCGGCUAACUUCGUGCCAGCAGCCGCGGUAAUACGAAGGGGGGCUAGCGUUGCUCGGAAUUACUGGGCGUAAAGGGAGCGUAGGCGGAUAGUUUAGUCAGAGGUGAAAGCCCAGGGCUCAACCUUGGAAUUGCCUUUGAUACUGGCUAUCUUGAGUAUGGGAGAGGUUAGCGGAACUCCGAGUGUAGAGGUGAAAUUCGUAGAUAUUCGGAAGAACACCAGUGGCGAAGGCGGCUAACUGGCCCAUUACUGACGCUGAGGCUCGAAAGCGUGGGGAGCAAACAGGAUUAGAUACCCUGGUAGUCCACGCCGUAAACGAUGAGUGCUAGUUGUCGGCAUGCAUGCAUGUCGGUGGUACGCGAGCGUACGACAUUAAGUACACCUCCGCCGUCGGGGAGGUACGGUCGGCGAAGAAUUAAACUAACAAAUAGAAGUUAGUACGGCGUGAGACGUGCCGACGGACGACCGACGAGGGAGGAGG
rnacentral:rRNA from 1 species